UACGUAGGUGACAAGCGUUGUCCGGAUUUACUGGGCGUAAAGAGCGCGCAGGCGGUCGUUCAAGUCGAGUGUGAAAGCCCCCGGCUCAACUGGGGAGGGUCAUUCGAUACUGAUCGACUCGAAGGCAGGAGAGGGUAGUGGAAUUCCCGGUGUAGUGGUGAAAUGCGUAGAUAUCGGAGGAACACCAGUGGCGAAGGCGACUACCUGGCCUGUUCUUGACGCUGAGGCGCGAAAGCUAGGGGAGCAAACGGG
rnacentral:rRNA from 1 species